rnacentral:rRNA from 1 species
AGUGAACGCUGGCGGUAGGCCUAGCACAUGCAAGUCGAACGGCAGCACAGUAAGAGCUUGCUCUUACGGGUGGCGAGUGGCGGACGGGUGAGGAAUACAUCGGAAUCUACUUUUUCGUGGGGGAUAACGUAGGGAAACUUACGCUAAUACCGCAUACGACCUACGGGUGAAAGCAGGGGAUCUUCGGACCUUGCGCGAUUGAAUGAGCCGAUGUCGGAUUAGCUAGUUGGCGGGGUAAAGGCCCACCAAGGCGACGAUCCGUAGCUGGUCUGAGAGGAUGAUCAGCCACACUGGAACUGAGACACGGUCCAGACUCCUACGGGAGGCAGCAGUGGGGAAUAUGGGACAAUGGGCGCAAGCCUGAUCCAGCCAUACCGCGUGGGUGAAGAAGGCCUUCGGGUUGUAAAGCCCUUUUGUUGGGAAAGAAAAGCAGCAGGUUAAUACCCCGCUGUUCUGACGGUACCCAAAGAAUAAGCACCGGCUAACUUCGUG